GAUGUAAAUAUGCUUGCAGUUUGCUAGUAGACAUCAUAUAGGGGAUGAAAAGUGAAAAGGAUACUUUUUAGAGAAUUUAAAUAGAAGAAUUCUAUUCUUUGAAAAGGAUGGUUUGUGGAAAUGGUUUUCUUUUUUUGCAUAGUUUUAUCUCUAGAAAACAUAUUCCACCACCACCAUCACCCUGGUUAGUUAUGAAGGAAUUGCCUCUUAUCCAAGAAACAUAUUUCAUGUUUUGAAAAUUUGGGACACAGUAGCCAUCAGUGCAGAAUCCUUCAUUUUGAUUAAGGUAGGCUUCUUGGGAGAGGUGGGUUUUGAGGCAAUGGUAAGAUCAAGAGGCAAGAGAAAAAUGGCAGAUGGAAGUGGGAGGCUGUUCUAGACAUAGGAGGUGGGGGUUGGUGUGGGGGCAGCAGUGGGAAUAAGGAAAAUGGUGCCAAGAGAUGUCUUUGGCUAGAACACAAGGGGCAGCUGUGGUAGUUAGGAGUGGGAGGUUAGUAGGACAGACUGAUAGAAACCUCAGAACCAAUUGAGUGCUGAAAAAUGGGUGGGGAAUCAGUAAAUUUGAGGAGGAGAAAAACAUGGUUGAAAAUAAUGAUAGGAAAAUAAAGUUGCAAUAACAAAUGACUAGAUUUUAGAAAGUAGGAUUAUUAUUGUUUUGGUAAACCCAGCUUUGCAAAAUUUAAGACCUAGUAUCCCUACUGAGUUUCUCAAAGGUCUAGCCUUAUUUUGGGUGAGGAGUACUCUUGAAAGGAGUCCUUAUUUUUUUGCAUUUAUAAUAAAAGAGCACUUACUGGUAUCCGAUGUGACUAUCUUAAAUACAUUAUUUCCUUCUGUGUCAUCACCUAGUAUUAAAAAACCAGAGCUGGCAAGGGUCUUUCCAAGAACAUUGGAUCUCCUUCUUUGCUUUUAGGCAGGGUUGGCCAUAAACCAACUCCACUGAUUAGAUGUCACUCCUAGUCCAGAUCAGCUCAAAAGAGGGAGAGUUUACUCUGGAAACUCAGCAGUAUAAAUAAAGAACAGGAUCACAGAACUCAAGAAUUUUUAUUCCAAUUUAACAAUAAAGAUUUCUGGUGUGGGGCUGGGGAUGUGGCUCAAGUGGUAGUGUGCUCUCCAGGCAUGCAUGAGGCACUGGGUUCGAUCCUCAGCACCACAUAAAAAUAAAAUAAAGAUAUUGUGUCCACCUAAAACUAAAAAAUAAAUAUUAAAAAAAAUGAUUUCUGGUGGAGUUUUAUGCAUAUCUUUCUCUCCCAGUGGUAGGAAAUAGAAAACAAAUUUCUUUCCAUGUAAUGAGUCUCUCCUGUACUCAAAGACCAAGACUGUUUCUUGAGAUCAGUUAAUAUGAAAUAUUUACAGAUUAUUUUUCCUGGGUUCCAGUUUCUAUCCUCCUCGUUUACCUUUCUCCCCACCCUUUUUAAAAUCUGAACUUCAAUUAAGCAAACCAGUCAUUGAAAUCUUCUUCAGCUGGUGAGUUAGCUGGAAAAGUAGGAAGAUUGAUAGUAUUCAUCAGUAAAAACACAAUCCCAAUUGAUAAGUUAUUCUAAUUUAGGAAAUAUGUAAUCAAGAGAACUAAAAUCUCUGCUGUGAAGAAUCAGAGGCCCAGGGCUGGGGACAUGGCUUAGUGGUAGAGCACUUGCCUAGCAUGCAUGAGGCCUUGAGUUCCAACUUCAGUAUUGCAGAAACAAAAGAAUCAGAGGCCCAAAUUACACAUUCCCUAUUUACUUCAAAAAAACACUUUUCUACCCAUCUCUAGGCAGGAGAGUGAUCUGUGUUCUAAACAGCAUUCUGCAACAUCACCCACCCAUUUUUAAGUAUGUCUUUGUGGAUGCUUUCUGGUUUUUUUGUUUGUUUGUUUUUUAACUUGUUUGAAGUACUGAACUGGGAGCUUUGCUUUCCUUUCCAAUGUGCUUAGCUAGAUGCAGCUCACCUUUCUCAGAUCUGCCAAAAAAAAAAAAAAAAUCUCUGGUACAAUGGGAUACUGCCAUUUCUGUGGUCUUUUUUGAUUUUUCUGGUACUAGAAAUUGAGCCCAGGGGCACUUUACUACUGAGCUACAUCCCCAAUUCUUUUUAUCUUUUACUUUGAGGUAGUUGCUUAGGCUGAGGCUUUCCUCAAACUUACCAUUCUCCAGAGUUGCUGGGAUUAUAGGUGUGCCCCACUGUACCUGGCUCAUUUCUGUUGGUCUUGUGUAGAAAAGGUGGCCCAACUAAGGUAAAUGAUCCCUCUUUGAUCAGACAUAAUAAUUAGCCCUUUUAAGUGAAAUUGAACAGGAUCUCAGAACUCAAGAAGGAUUAGAGCAGCCUAUAUGGUCAAAGUUAUGUUGCCAUAGGACUUUUAGGAGUGGAAGAAUAAUAAAGAACAUUUAAUUUGGGGGAUUUUAGAACCUAAGUAGGCUGUCCUGGAAACAGGCAUCAGCACUGAAGUCUUAGUGUGCUGCCUUUGAGGAGGGGAUAGAGUGGACAGUUUCCAUAUCUAAUGGAAGGAAGUUCUUUUUCUAUUCAUCGUUUGCCUGCUCUCCUGGCUUCCAGCAGUUGAGGUAUAUACUACAGUGAAAGAGUAUCAGCUGCCCUUUGAUUUGAUCAGCCAAGCUUAUAAAUCAAAAACAGGUAUUUGAGGAAAGGAUGAAUGUUUCGCUCUGACAUUAAAAUUGCUUUGUCACAAUGAGUUACUUGCUUGUUACCCAUCACAUGCUAGGCCCUUUCCAUGUUGAGAUGGUAAUAAAGUGGAGAUAAGAAUACAGAUAGUGCUGAUCAAAGUGGCACAUGCCUGAAAUCCCAGCGACUCAGGAGGCUGAGGCAGGAGGAUCUCAAGUUCAUAGCCAGCCUCAGCAACUUAGCGAGGCUGCAAGCAACUAGGUGAGACCCUGUCUCUAAAUAUAAAAAAGGGCUGGGGGUAUGGCUGAGUUUGAUUAAGCACACUUGGGUUCAAACUCUGGUUACCACCCCCCCAAAAAAAAAAAAAAGAGAAUAUGGACAGUGAAGAUUAAAGGCUUAAAACCUAAAACCAAGAGAAAAAAAACCUUCAAGGUCACCGCCCUUGUCUUUGAAAACCCAGUGCUUAAACUUUGCUAGCCCAGAAUUGUUCUAUAUCUUUUAGGGCUGAAUAAUUGAAUUUGAUGCAUUCAUUAUCUACUUUGGAGCACAGGGGGUAGGUUUCUGUGGCACCAGACUAAUCUUGGGUUGAAUUCAUCUCGUCUUCUGAGCCAAGCAAUGGUUUUUCCUUCCUUCCUUCCUUCCUUCCUUCCUUCCUUCCUUUUUUUUUUUUUUUUUUUUUUUAAAUUUCUCUGUGCUACUUGGAUUGAACCCAGGGUCACUCUACCACUGAGCUAUAUCCCCAGCCCUUUUUAUUUUGAGAUAGGAUCUCAUUGAAUUGCACAGGCUGGCCUUGAAUUUAGGAUCCUCCUGCCUUAGCCUCUGGAGUCACUGGGAUUACAGGUGUGCACUACCACACCCAUCAAAGCAAUGAUUUUUCAUCUAGUAUGAUCACUCCUGAGGUCUUAUGUAGGGGAAAAAAAUUCCAGAUGGCUUACUGCCUUGGUUCAGAAUUACGUUGACUAGAAUCAGCAUCUUAGGAAAUAUAGAAAGAAGACCUCAUAAUCAUUUUAAGAAACCAGCACGUCCUUAGAUUGAAAUGUUGUCAUCUUAUCACCUCUUAUUCAGUGAACUGACAGCUAAGUUCCAAUUCAUGACACUUCAAAUGCAGCUCUCUUUUGUUAGGAGAGCUCUCUCCCAAGGGUACUUCCAUUUUCAAUUGUUUGAAAUGACCUAGCCUCUCAUUUCUCCCACUGAACAAUAGAAAAACUGAUUUGCUCCCCCCACCCCAUUAUCACCCUUCAUGUAGGGAAUUUCUUGAAAACAGAAACGUUUUAAGAAAUAAAAAUGUAAUGGAUUCUGGGAUGUGGAACUUAUUUAUUUAUUGUUUUGGUACUGGGCUUGGAACCUGGGACCUUGCAUGUGCUAGGCAAAUACACUACCACUGAGCUACAGCCACAGCCCCCCCCCGCCGGCCUUUUUUUUAAUCAAUCAUUGUAAUUUAUUCAUUAACCAUUGGCUAAGCUCGCUCACGCUCUCUCUUUCUCUCUUGCGCUCUCUCUCUCUCUCUCUCUCUCUCUCUCUCUCUCUCUCUCUCUCUCUCUCUCUUUCUUCUUUUGUGGUGCUGGGGCCACAGCCCUUUUUGAGACAUGGUCUUGCCCAGGCUGGUCUUGACUUAUGAUGUUCCUCCCUUGGCCUUUUGAGUAUCUGGGAUCACAUUGUUGUGCCUAUUCCCAGUAAGAAAAGUGAUUUUGAAUUGGAGCUAAGAUAUCUUUUUUCCCUCCAGUUUCUGAUGUUAGAAAGUUGUCAAAGGUGAAAUAGGCAACAUUAUUGAAAAGGAGUGUACAAAAAGUUCAGAUAUGCCUUGAAGGCACUGGCUGCCAAGUAUCAAGGAUGGGUGGGCUGAUGUGAAUCUUCUGUGACUGAGGGCAGCAGUGUUCUGACCCUGAUAACAUAGGCAUUUGCUGUUGGAGAGAUGGGAAACAGCUCUUCCACCUGUUACCACCUUGUCCCAUGUUAGAAUCCUCUUUUUAAUCAAGAGCAAUCUGCAGCAGAUAAAGCUACUCUGCUGGGGGAUAGGAGCCAGAGCCCCCAUGUACCUAAACUGCAGCCAGACAGCUAAGAGCAAUGUCAACUUUUCCUUGAUUCCCCCACUCCCCUCCCCCCAAAAUAAUAAUCUUCUAGUUCUGAGUGUACACAGCUUCAGAUUCAGGACACCUGUCAGAUCUAAGUCAGGGCCUGGGUUUUAACUUCAUGAUGUAAAGCAAAAAACGCUUUUGAGAGCACAGUCUCCCAGGAGUGCCUCCGCCCCCAGCAACUGCAGAAAAGAAGGCGUCCGUCUGUGGGAGAGAAGGGUGGCUAUAGACGUCAUUGCAUCAUCCAGAUCCCAGCUGUGACCUGGCUCAGAGUUUUCCAGUUAAAAAUAACCAUGGCUAAGACUUGGGGGAAAAAAGUAAAUUGUUGGGUCUCCAUGGAAACUAGAAGCGGAAAGACAAAGCAUGGGAUUUCCAGCACAGGUGGCAAGAUUGGGGAGGAUAUAGGAGCCCUAAGCUUAGAAGCCCUCUGAUGAAAAGGGAUACCCCUAAUUAGCAUCCAGGAUAUAGCCAGACACUGCCCCAGGGCUCUGGAGACACACAAUGCAGAGGGUAUGUUUACAUGGAAGUAUGCUUCUUGAGUCUGGUGAAGAAUUAUUUGAGGUUACUGACUUUCUGUUACAAAUUUGCUACUAUUUACCAAAGCAAGAGCAGAUGGGCAACUCAGGAGGUUAGAUGUUGCCUUUUAACCCAUCUGGGAACCUUUGCUGCUCUACUAUCACAUUCCACUUCAUCAUUUGCAUACUCAGCGGCUUUGGAUGUUAUGGGUAGCAUUCCAUAACCACAGGGAAAUCUCCAAGCUUUUGGGCUGACGUGUACAUGUACUUCCCUUUUGUAGGACCAGGUUUUUCCUCUUUGGUGUGGUAGGAAGUUAUGCAAAGCAGCAUUAAUUACAUUGGGUGUCUUUAAAAACAUGUCUUUUACCUUUUAUGGUGGUGUUAUCAUCACUACAGGUAACUAACUCUUGGGGGAGGGGAAUAUUUUCUUUCUUCACUCUACUUAAAAAAAUUUUUUUUUAGUUGUAGAUGGACACAAUACCUUUAUUUAUUUUUAUAUGAUUCUGACAAUGGAACCCAGUGCCUCACAUGUGCUACGCAAGCACUGUACCACUGAGCCACAACCUCAGCCCUCUUUGUUCUACUAUUUUUUUAAAUUUAUUUUUUAGUUGUAGUUGGACACAAUACCUUUUAUUUUGUUUAUUUAUUUUUAUGUGGUGCUGAGGCUCAAACCCAGCACCUAGCACACUGCUGAGCCACAACCCCAGCCCUUCGUUGUACUUUUUAAAGAAGAUUUUUAAAAAAUAUUUUUUCCUUUCAAGAAAUACUAGAAUACAUUCUAGUUAUUUAAAAAAAAAAAGUACCAAUGCCAUGAAGGGGGGUGGGGGGCACUUAACUCCUGAGCCACAUUCCCAGCCCUUUUUAUUUUAUAUUUUGAGACAGGGUUUCACUAAGUUGGUUAGAGUCUUGCUAAAUUGCUGAGGCUGGCAUUAAACUUGUGAUCCUCCUGCCUCAGGCUCCUGAGCUGCUAGGAUUAAACGUAUGCUCCACCAUGCCUGGCUUAAACACUCACUUUUGUUUUGUGUGGGGUUUUUUGGUGGUGCUACUAGGGAUGGAACCCAGGGCCUUGUGCAUUCAAGGCAAGCACUCUAACAAAUGAGCUAUAUCCCUAGCCCUCUUAAACACUCACUUUUAAUGAAGGGUUUAUGCAAGAAAUAAUUGAGGAAAAAGUACGGAUUUUUUACUUUUUUGACAUUACUGACCUUAUACGGAUACAUGAUCUCUUGUUUACCUGCCUGGUGUGUUAGAAAAAUCUGAGUACUAAUCCUUGUUCUGCUAUUUAGUAAUAUGCAACCUUGGGCAAGUUUCUUAACCCUCCUAUCUAAAGUGUGGUUGAUAAUCCCUACCUGACUGGGUUUGGUGAAGAUUAAAUGGGAUAAAUAAAGCUGAGGGAUGUGAUCAGUGCUGGAGCAUCUGCCUAGCAAGUGUGAGGCCCUGGGUUCCACUCACAAGUACUGCAAAAGAAAAAAGAUGAACAGUGGGGGGAUAAGGUAUAUAUCACAUAAGGUAUACAACACAGCUGGCAUCUCCCUUUCUUUCCCUUUGAGCCUUUGCUAGUUCCGUUUAACUGCAUUCAGGUUGUACCACAUAAUUCACAUCAUGCUAAAGUCACAUGGAAGGACACUGAAAUCUGAGCCACAGAAUAUAAAAAGAGGCAGAUGUGUAUUGUGCAUGGAUGCUGUUUAUCUUCAAAUUCUCAUCACUGCAUCAUUGCCGUAGCCCUGGUAUUGAAUUAAAGGUAGAAAAUUUCAGAGACAGAUUUCAAAUUACCUAGUUAUCCUUGACAUGUUGUAAUGUUCCCUUAUGUAAUGCCUAGUCCAAAAAACUUGAUGUUGGUUACAGAACUAUAUAUUAUGAUUGUAACUGUGUAAAAAAAACUAAAAAAUCUUUCAUAGAAAAAAGACAAAUUCAGGUGCUAAUCACUCACUGUUUUGUUAAUAAAGUGAUGGUGAUGCUUUUUCUCUUUUAUUUUCCUUUUUUCGUUUGUAAUAUGACAUUUCUUUAUUACUAGAAAAUUAAUUUUAUGAGAACUAUGAAACUAAAAAUAGAAGAUUAAAGCAUUUUUUCAUGUAAUAAAACCUAGUUAGUCCUUAUAUAUGUGUUCUUACAUCUUCUGAAAUAGCACACACCUUAGGCAAACCUCUGUAGUAGAUGAAAUAUAUCUUAAGACUUCUGUCCUGCUAAUUCUUUUAUUUUUCCCACAUGCAUAGAGUUUUCUCCCAGGUACCCAGUGACCACUGUUCCUCUCAAACCUGUCAAAGGACAGUAGUUUUAAAAAUGUUUGCUUCUGGGGCUGGGGAUGUGGCUCAAGCGGUAGCGCGCUCGCCUGGCAUGUGUGCAGCCCGG
rnacentral:lncRNA from 1 species